GCCCAGACUCCUACGGGAGGCAGCAGUGGGGAAUAUUGCACAAUGGGGGAAACCCUGAUGCAGCGACGCCGCGUGAGCGAUGAAGUAUUUCGGUAUGUAAAGCUCUAUCAGCAGGGAAGAAAAUGACGGUACCUGACUAAGAAGCCCCGGCUAACUACGUGCCAGCAGCCGCGGUAAUACGUAGGGGGCAAGCGUUAUCCGGAUUUACUGGGUGUAAAGGGAGCGUAGACGGCUGUGCAAGCCAGAUGUGAAAGCCCGGGGCUCAACCCCGGGACUGCAUUUGGAACUGUGUGGCUGGAGUGUCGGAGAGGCAGGCGGAAUUCCUAGUGUAGCGGUGAAAUGCGUAGAUAUUAGGAGGAACACCAGUGGCGAAGGCGGCCUGCUGGACGAUGACUGACGUUGAGGCUCGAAAGCGUGGGGAGCAAACAGGAUUAGAUACCCCGGUAC
rnacentral:rRNA from 1 species